rnacentral:rRNA from 1 species
AUGUGUGUGUGUGUGACACGUGGGACUUUAGGUGUCAUAUAUUAUGACAAUUUGUUUUGGCAAAAACAUACGGGUCAGGUCCUGCUACAAUGGUAUGCCUUUUCCAACAUGAUGUCGGCUCGACCCAUUUUUGGACAAAUACAUCCAAUAACUACAACCCACUUUGAGUUGUGCCCAACUUGCCGGUCUACCCCGUUUAGUGUCAAACGCAUCUUCACAUGUUUUGGGUUAAGCUUGUUUUUAUACUCGUUUAGACCGAGCAUAUUCUUCUGUCUGUUUGUCAUAGUUCUUAUGAUUGGGCCUAUCAAAAGGCCCACUUAA